UACGUAGGGUGCAAGCGUUGUCCGGAAUUAUUGGGCGUAAGGAGCUCGUAGGCGGCUUGUCGCGUCGGCUGUGAAAACCUGGGGCUCAACCCCGGGCCUGCAGCCGAUACGGGCAAGCUAGAAUUCGGUAGGGGAGACUGGAAUUCCUGGUGUAGCGGUGAAAUGCGCAGAUAUCAGGAGGAACACCGGUGGCGAAGGCGGGUCUCUGGGCCGAUAUUGACGCUGAGGAGCGAAAGCGUGGGGAGCGAACAGG
rnacentral:rRNA from 1 species